GACGAACGCUGGCGGCGUGCUUAACACAUGCAAGUCAAGGGGGCCCAGCAAUGGGCAACCGGCGAACGGGUGCGUAACACGUGAGCAACCUACCGAACUGUGGGGGAUAGCCGGCCUAACGGCCGAGUAAUACCGCAUACGCUUUCAGUGAGGCAUUUCAUUGGAAGGAAACCUACGGGACAGAUCGAGGGGCUCGCGGCCUAUCAGCUAGUUGGCGAGGUAAUGGCUCACCAAGGCGACGACGGGUAGCUGGUCUGAGAGGAUGGCCAGCCACAUU
rnacentral:rRNA from 1 species